UACGUAGGGGGCAAGCGUUGUCCGGAUUUAUUGGGCGUAAAGAGCUCGUAGGUGGUUCGGUAAGUCGGAUGUGAAAUCUCCAGGCUCAACCUGGAGGGGUCAUUCGAUACUGCCGUGACUAGAGGUCGGUAGGGGAGUGUGGAAUUCCUGGUGGAGCGGUGAAAUGCGCAGAUAUCAGGAGGAACACCGGUGGCGAAGGCGGAUCUCUGGGCCGAUACUGACGCUGAGGAGCGAAAGCGUGGGGAGCGAACAGG
rnacentral:rRNA from 1 species